GAUGAACGCUGGCGGCGUGCCUCAAACAUGCAAGUCGAGCGGGGCUAUGUAAUACCGCAAGGUAGAACAUAGCCUAGCGGCGAACGGGUGAGUAACACGUGGGUAACCUGCCUGGAAGACAGGGAUAACGAUUCGAAAGGGUCGCUAAUACCUGAUAAUAUCCUUUCAUCGCAUGGUGAUAGGAAGAAAGGGGAAACCCGCUUUCAGAUGGGCCCGCGUCCCAUCAGCUAGUUGGUAAGGUAAAGGCUUACCAAGGCGACGACGGGUAGCCGGUCUGAGAGGAUGUACGGCCACACUGGGACUGAGAUACGGCCCAGACUCCUACGGGAGGCAGCAGUUGGGAAUCUUAGGCAAUGGACGAAAGUCUGACCUAGCGACGCCGCGUGAGGGAAGAAGGCCUUCGGGUUGUAAACCUCUGUCAUGGGGGAAGAAGUAAGUGACGGUACCCCAAGAGGAAGCCCCUGCUAACUACGUG
rnacentral:rRNA from 1 species